rnacentral:sRNA from 1 species
AUAAUAUAGUACCGUAGACAGUAGGAGCGUAAGCUUAAUAUUUCCUACCGAGGAACUUAAAUUAUAAAUUUUAAGUUUUUUGGGUCUUACGGUUUUCGUAAGACCUUU